rnacentral:rRNA from 1 species
UACGGAGGGUGCAAGCGUUAUCCGGAAUCACUGGGUUUAAAGGGUGCGUAGGCGGUUUUAUAAGUCAGGGGUGAAAGCAUGCAGCUUAACUGUAUAAUUGCCUUUGAUACUGUAAGACUUGAAUAAGGUUGAGGUUGGCGGAAUGUGACAUGUAGCGGUGAAAUGCUUAGAUAUAUCAUAGAACACCGAUUGCGAAGGCAGCUGACUGGGCCUUUAUUGACGCUGAGGCACGAAAGCGUGGGGAGCGAACAGGAUUAGAUACCCUGGUAGUCCACGCCCUAAACGAUGUAUACUCGUUGUUUGCAUCUUGAAUGUGAGCAACCAAGCGAAAGCGUUAAGUAUACCACCUGGGGAGUACGCCCGCAAGGGUGAA